GUACACAUCUAACACCAAUAAGAUUCUCGGAUUGAAAUAUGAUCAAGAAACUAAGAACAAUAGGGAAGAAGAAAACAAGGCAGCCCCUUUAUUUGAUCAAGUUUGAUAUAUUGUCAGUGCAACUCCAACCGACGGGUGGUUUCGUGAGCGAGGGGAGCAUCAAAAAAAAUCAAAUGGAGGGUGGGGUUUCAUGAGCGAGGGGAGCGUCUGAAAAUCAAAUGGAUGAG
rnacentral:lncRNA from 1 species